UCUUACUAAAGUUUUAUUAAAAUUACUUCAUAGGCAACUAUCUGGUGCCACUAUUAAAAUAUCCAAUUCUGAAGAGGGAUCUAAAGAAAGAACAGUAACAAUCUCUGGGACCCCAGAAGCCAUCAAUCUUGCCCAAUACCUCAUCAAUACAAGCAUCCAGACAGCACAGAUACCUUUGCUUUGGAAGAACAUCCCUGUGGUACCACUGAAGUGAGUGUAUAUGGCUUCCUUGCUCUCUGUUGGCCCUGUCUUUGGCUUCAGUCUUUGUUUUCUUCCCUGGUAGAUGAGACAUCACAACACCUGUUAGAAGACCUCAACUUGGCAUUACCCAACUCUUCCAAAUGUGCGGAUCAAUUAUACUAACCUCUACAUUUUCCAAUAUGUUGUAUUUCUGAUACGACACUUUAAUCUUUCCUUCAUCUCAGAGUGUAAUCAUUUUACUGAAUUCUUCCUAAGAAAGUUAAAUCCUACUCUAUAUAAAACAAUUUAUAAAAAGUACAUAUCAGAAAGAAGGCAUCUGAGAUGUCUAUUGUUAUAAAAUGUUUUCUUAAUUCUCAAAUAUAUAUAUAUAAAAUAUAUAUAUAUACACAAAUAUAUAUAUAUAUAUCUUUGAAUAACUCAAUA